CCUACGGGUGGCAGCAGUGAGGAAUAUUGGUCAAUGGGCGCGAGCCUGAACCAGCCAAGUAGCGUGAAGGAUGACUGCCCUGCGGGUUGUAGACUUCUUUUAUAAAGGAAUAAAGUGCGGCACGUGUGCCGUUUUGUGUGUACUUUAUGAAUAAGGAUCGGCUAACUCCGUGCCAGCAGCCGCGGUAAUACGGAGGAUCCGAGCGUUAUCCGGAUUUAUUGGGUUUAAAGGGAGCGUAGAUGGGUUGUUAAGUCAGUUGUGAAAGUUUGCGGCUCAACCGUAAAAUUGCAAUUGAUACUGGCAGGCUUGAGUACAGCUGAGGCAGGCGGAAUUCGUGGUGUAGCGGUGAAAUGCUUAGAUAUCACGAAGAACUCCGAUUGCGAAGGCAGCUUACUAAACUGCCACUGACAUUGAUGCUCGAAAGUGUGGGUAUCAAACAGGAUUAGAUACCCCAGUAGUC
rnacentral:rRNA from 1 species